rnacentral:rRNA from 1 species
UUAAGUGAAUAAGGGCGCACGGUGGAUGCCUUGGCACUAGGAGCCGAUGAAGGACGGGACUAACACCGAUAUGCUUUGGGGAGCUGUAAGUAAGCUAUGAUCCAGAGAUUUCCGAAUGGGGGAACCCAAUAUCUUUUAUAGGAUAUUACUUUUCAGUGAAUACAUAGCUGAUUAGAGGUAGACGCAGAGAACUGAAACAUCUUAGUACCUGCAGGAAGAGAAAGAAAAUUCGAUUCCCUGAGUAGCGGCGAGCGAAACGGGAAGAGCCCAAACCAACAAGCUUGCUUGUUGGGGUUGUAGGACUCCAACAUGGUAGUCUGUUAGUAUAGUUGAAGGAUUUGGAAAAUUCCGCUAAAGAGGGUGAAAGCCCCGUAGACGAAAUGCUGACAACACCUAGGAGGAUCCUGAGUACGGCGGAACACGAGAAAUUCCGUCGGAAUCCGCGGGGACCAUCCCGCAAGGCUAAAUACUCCCUAGUGACCGAUAGUGAACCAGUACCGUGAGGGAAAGGUGAAAAGCACCCCGGAAGGGGAGUGAAAUAGAUCCUGAAACCGUGUGCCUACAACAAGUCAAAGCUCGUUAAUGAGUGAUGGCGUGCCUUUUGUAGAAUGAACCGGCGAGUUACGAUUGCAUGCGAGGUUAAGUCGAAGAGACGGAGCCGCAGCGAAAGCGAGUCUGAAUAGGGCGAAUGAGUAUGUAGUCGUAGACCCGAAACCAUGUGAUCUACCCAUGUCCAGGUUGAAGGUGCGGUAAAACGCACUGGAGGACCGAACCCACGUACGUUGAAAAGUGCGGGGAUGAGGUGUGGGUAGCGGAGAAAUUCCAAACGAACUUGGAGAUAGCUGGUUCUCUCCGAAAUAGCUUUAGGGCUAGCCUCGGAAUUGAGAAUGAUGGAGGUAGAGCACUGUUUGGACUAGGGGCCCAUCUCGGGUUACCGAAUUCAGAUAAACUCCGAAUGCCAUUCAUUUAUAUCCGGGAGUCAGACUGCGAGUGAUAAGAUCCGUAGUCGAAAGGGAAACAGCCCAGACCACCAGCUAAGGUCCCAAAAUAUAUGUUAAGUGGAAAAGGAUGUGGGGUUGCACAGACAACUAGGAUGUUGGCUUAGAAGCAGCCACCAUUUAAAGAGUGCGUAAUAGCUCACUAGUCGAGUGACCCUGCGCCGAAAAUGUACCGGGGCUAAACAUAUUACCGAAGCUGUGGACUACACCAUUAGGUGUAGUGGUAGGAGAGCGUUCUAAGGGCGUUGAAGGUCGAUCGUGAGGACGGCUGGAGCGCUUAGAAGUGAGAAUGCCGGUAUGAGUAGCGAAAGACAGGUGAGAAUCCUGUCCACCGUAUGACUAAGGUUUCCUGGGGAAGGCUCGUCCGCCCAGGGUUAGUCGGGACCUAAGCCGAGGCCGAUAGGCGUAGGCGAUGGACAACAGGUUGAUAUUCCUGUACCAGUUGUUUUUGUUUGAGCAAUGGAGGGACGCAGUAGGCUAAGGAAUGCAUGCGAUUGGAAGUGCAUGUCCAAGCAAUGAGUCUUGAGUAGAGUUAAAUGCUUUACUCUCUAAGGACAAGUUGUGACGGGGAGCGAAAUAAUAGUAGCGAAGUUCCUGAUGUCACACUGCCAAGAAAAGCUUCUAGUGAGAAAACAACUGCCCGUACCGUAAACCGACACAGGUAGUCGAGGAGAGUAUCCUAAGGUGAGCGAGCGAACUCUCGUUAAGGAACUCGGCAAAAUGACCCCGUAACUUCGGGAGAAGGGGUGCUGACUUCGGUCAGCCGCAGUGAAUAGGCCCAAGCGACUGUUUAUCAAAAACACAGGUCUCUGCAAAAUCGUAAGAUGAAGUAUAGGGGCUGACGCCUGCCCGGUGCUGGAAGGUUAAGAGGAUGGGUUAGCUUCGGCGAAGCUCAGAAUUGAAGCCCCAGUAAACGGCGGCCGUAACUAUAACGGUCCUAAGGUAGCGAAAUUCCUUGUCGGGUAAGUUCCGACCCGCACGAAAGGCGUAACGAUUUGGGCACUGUCUCAACGAGAGACUCGGUGAAAUUUUAGUACCUGUGAAGAUGCAGGUUACCCGCGACAGGACGGAAAGACCCCAUGGAGCUUUACUGUAGUUUGAUAUUGAGUGUUUGUACCACAUGUACAGGAUAGGUAGGAGCCGAUGAGACCGGAACGCUAGUUUCGGAGGAGGCGCUGGUGGGAUACUACCCUUGUGUUAUGAACCCUCUAACCCGCACCACUAAUCGUGGUGGGAGACAGUGUCAGAUGGGCAGUUUGACUGGGGCGGUCGCCUCCUAAAAGGUAACGGAGGCGCCCAAAGGUUCCCUCAGAAUGGUUGGAAAUCAUUCGAAGAGUGUAAAGGCAGAAGGGAGCUUGACUGCGAGACCUACAAGUCGAGCAGGGACGAAAGUCGGGCUUAGUGAUCCGGUGGUUCCGCAUGGAAGGGCCAUCGCUCAACGGAUAAAAGCUACCCUGGGGAUAACAGGCUUAUCUCCCCCAAGAGUCCACAUCGACGGGGAGGUUUGGCACCUCGAUGUCGGCUCGUCGCAUCCUGGGGCUGUAGUCGGUCCCAAGGGUUGGGCUGUUCGCCCAUUAAAGCGGCACGCGAGCUGGGUUCAGAACGUCGUGAGACAGUUCGGUCCCUAUCCGUCGCGGGCGUUGGAAAUUUGAGAGGAGCUGUCCUUAGUACGAGAGGACCGGGAUGGACUUACCGCUGGUGUACCAGUUGUCCUGCCAACGGCAUUGCUGGGUAGCUAUGUAGGGAAGGGAUAAACGCUGAAAGCAUCUAAGUGUGAAGCCCACCUCAAGAUGAGAUUUCCCAUUUCUUUAAGAAAGUAAGACCCCUGAGAGAUGAUCAGGUAGAUAGGUUGGAAGUGGAAGGCUAGUGAUAGUUGGAGCGGACCAAUACUAAUCGGUCGAGGACUUAACCAA